CAAACGGCCUUUUUCAAGGCCAACUAUACCCCGGAGUAUAUGGCGG
rfam:Aliifodinibius roseus strain DSM 21986 genome assembly, contig: Ga0134108_103